rnacentral:rRNA from 1 species
AUUGAUAACCUACCUUUGAGAUGGGAACAACAACGUUCCAAGUAAUUGGGGCUACCGAAAGGGUUGCUAAUUCUCAAUAAAAAUGCUGACACUUUGGUGUCGGCAGUCAAAGAAAUGGAUCUGAAAAGGUCCAUUUGCUCAGAGAGGGGUCAAUGUCCUAUCAGCUAGUUGGUAGGGUAAUGGCCUACCAAGGCGAAGACGGGUAGCCGGCCUGAGAGGGUGGUCGGCCACACUGGGACUGAGACACUGCCCAGACUCCUACGGGAGGCUGCAGUCGAGAAUCUUUCGCAAUGCCCGAAAGGGUGACGAAGCGACGCCGCGUGUGGGAUGAAGGCCUUCGGGUUGUAAACCACUGUCGGGAGUUAAGAAUUAUAGGAAUGCUAAUAGUAUUUCUACUUGACUAAGGCUCCGGAGGAAGCCACGACUAACUCUGUGCCAGCAGCCGCGGUAAUACAGAGGCGGCAAGCGUUGUUCGGAAUUAUUGGGCGUAAAGAGCAUGUAGGCGGCUAUGUAAGUCGGUUGUGAAAGCCUUCCGCUUAACGGAAGAAUGGCGGUCGAAACUGCAUGGCUUGAGUGCGGG